GGCUAAGUUACACAGUGACAUUGAUGUGCAAAAGGUGUGCAGCAAUUCCAGUUUAACAAUCAGGUAAUGCAAGCUAUUGAGACAAAACACUCCACUGAGCUACUGCACUGCUAAAAUCAACAUGUUUAAUACCGCCUGUAUAGUACUGAGCUACGCACAUCCUAAAUGUAUGCAGUGUAGCUACAUUAUGCUGAGUAGAGCAUUAGACAGUACCCCAUUUAUAAUCGACCAGCAGACUUGAUGAAUAACAGCAUACGGUCAACAUGUGGAGCAAGAGUUAAUAUAAGCCACUGGAGUCUCGGAGGGGUGAGUUCAUGCUACCCUAUGGGAUCAGCUUCAUGAGACCGCUGGUGUAGACACAGGGGUAUACACGCUGGAUCAUCAGGUCUCGGCUUCCCAUUGAAGUGUAAUAGCCGCAGGGUCCCAACAUAACAGGUAGUCUAAUAAGCGCCAUUCUGCCAACCCUAGGCUCUGCUUAAGCCUGCCAACUGUACCCACGGUUCCGGCUCCACUAGGGGCCAGCAACGGAGAUCCUGGCUUGGAUGUUCUUUCCAGGAGUGCAGUUGUAGUUGGAGGGUUGUCCUCGGGGGGCUCAAAUCCAAGGAAGGCAGUUGUGGGGACCAGUCCCAUUCACUGGGCCUGGAGCAUUGGACAGCCGAAAUGCCAUUGCCAUUCACUGGUAAGACAGGUCCAGGGGUGAGAGCUGCGGUCAUCACAUGUCUUGGUUUGUAGGGAUAUCAGCAUUCAGUCAGCAGAGCUUUGCCCAGGGUAAGCCACGUGGACGCCAUUUUGUGGAUCAAGCACGGGAACCCAUUGGCUUGGUUUGUUCAGCUGUGGUGGUCUGUGUGGCAUCUGUUCUCUCCAGUGGGGACCGGGAUAAC